rnacentral:rRNA from 1 species
UACGUAGGUGGCAAGCGUUGUCCGGAUUUACUGGGCGUAAAGAGCGCGCAGGCGGUCGAUCAAGUCGCGUGUGAAAGCCCCCGGCUCAACUGGGGAGGGUCACGCGAUACUGAUCGACUCGAAGGCAGGAGAGGGUAGUGGAAUUCCCGGUGUAGUGGUGAAAUGCGUAGAUAUCGGGAGGAACACCAGUGGCGAAGGCGACUACCUGGCCUGUUUCUUGACGCUGAGGCGCGAAAGCUAGGGGAGCAAACGGG